UAAUGUAUGGGGAUCUGCCCGAUAGAGGGGAAUAACUACUGGAAACGGUGGCUAAUACCGCAUAAUGUCUACGGACCAAAGCAGGGGCUCGUCGGACCUUGCACUAUCGGAUGAACCCAUAUGGGAUUAGCUAGUAGGUGGGGUAAAGGCUCACCUAGGCGACGAUCUCUAGCUGGUCUGAGAGGAUGAUCAGCCACACUGGGACUGAGACACGGCCCAG
rnacentral:rRNA from 1 species